UUAUAAAAUCUACCUUGAAAUUAAUCAGAUUAAUUCCUCUUCCUAAUAGAAGCAUCCUUCAACCUAAAGGCGAUUUAUUUACCCCCUCAAAGUACUGCAAAGGUAAUACUAUUAACACACAGCAGAGAUUAACUCUCGUACCUUUUGCAUCAUGGUUUAACAAGGCCCCAUCUGUCUAGACCCAACCCGAAGCUAGAGUGAGCUGAACUAGCGCUGUUAAGAACCUAUUACUCCAUGUUAAAAAAUGGAUAAGAGAUGGUAGUUCAGAGGCUACAUACCUGCCGCACCUAGCAAUAGCUGGUUACUUAAAUAGAUAAUAUAAGUUAUCAUAAUAUAUAUUAUUAAUGAAGCCCCAGGAGGAUAAGCUCUUCGGGCAUAUGUUAUUUUAUUAUAACUCACCUUUUAUGUAGGCUUAAAAGCUGCCACCACUAUAAAUCGUUACAGAAAUCUAAUUUAUAACAGAAUAAUAAUAAAUUAAAUACUAAAACAUUAAGUAUCAAUAUUAAACUUUAAUAUCUCUUACAAUGUUAAAAUUAAUACUCGCAAAUAAACACCCUACCAAUAAACCACCCAAUCUCAAAUAUAAACGCGAGAAAGGAACUCGGCAAAUAAGAUCUCCGACUGUUUAUCAAAAACAUUGCCUCUCGUCUAUAAUAUGGGAGGUACAUCCUGCCCGGUGAAUUAAUUUUUUAACGGCCGCGGUACCCUGACCGUGCGAAGGUAGCAUAAUCAUUCGCCUUUUAAUUGGAGGCUAGUAUGAAUGGACACACGAGAGAUCAGCUGUCUCUCUCGCGCACCUGUAAAUUGAACUGUAAGUGAAGAUGCUUACAUAAAAACGCAGGACAAAAAGACCCUAUUGAGUUUUACCCAGCCCCUAGCGUGCCUUAAAUUAGCUACAAUUAAGGACCUAUAGAAUUAGGGUUUGAUUGGGGCAAUCGGGGACCAAGUUUAUCGUCCCCAACCAACUUUUUUUUUACCCAAAGACCCAUAUACAUGAUUAAAAGAAUUAACUACCAUAGGGAUAACAGGCUAAUCUUCCUAGAGAGACCAUAUUGACAGGAAGGGUUGGCACCUCGAUGUUGGCUUAGGGUACCCCUUAAAUGCAGAAGUUUAAAAAGGUGGGUUUGUUCAACCCAUAACACCCUACAUGAGCUGAGUUCAGACCGGCGUGAGCCAGGUUAGUUUCUAUCCGCGUUUUACUCAAGUAAUUAGUAGUACGAAAGGACCCUAUUUUACUUAUCCUAUAAUAAAAAGAAUCCAUCUAAUAAAAACUCAACCCCGCUUAAUUGAUAGGAAAUUGG
rnacentral:rRNA from 1 species